GAUGAACGCUGGCGGCGUGCUUAACACAUGCAAGUCGAACGGAAAGGCCCAAGCUUGCUUGGGUACUCGAGUGGCGAACGGGUGAGUAACACGUGGGUGAUCUGCCCUGCACUUCGGGAUAAGCCUGGGAAACUGGGUCUAAUACCGGAUAGGACCACGUCUUGGAUGUUGUGGUGGAAAGUUUUUUCGGUGUGGGAUGAGCUCGCGGCCUAUCAGCUUGUUGGUGGGGUAAUGGCCUACCAAGGCGUCGACGGGUAGCCGGCCUGAGAGGGUGUACGGCCACAUUGGGACGGAGAUACGGCCCAGACUCCUACGGGAGGCAGCAGGGGGGAAUAUUGCACAAUGGGCGCAAGCCUGAUGCAGCGACGCCGCGUGGGGGAUGACGGCCUUCGGGUUGUAAACUCCUUUCGCUAGGGACGAAGCGUUUUUGUGACGGUACCUGGAGAAGAAGCACCGGCUAACUACGUG
rnacentral:rRNA from 1 species